rnacentral:lncRNA from 1 species
AAUUUCAAAUACUUUUUUAAAAAUUGUAAAAGUAAAAGGAAAUAAAACAUUUACAAAUAACAAAACCAAUUACAAAAACAAAAAGAUGAGCCCUUGCGAUCUAUCUCAUUUCUAAUCUUCUGUAACUCUUCUAAACUCUUGAACACGUCCGCUAAGCUUCACAGUUAGACUUCCCGAAAUAUAUGUCCUCCUACGUACCUGAAAAAAAGUCUAUAGGGGUGAGCUUACGCUCAAUAGGGCCAAACCUUUUUAGGCUGUACUUAACUAUGUGGCACAAUCAAGUUAUCAAGCAACAAACAAUACUUUAAAUAAAAUAUAUAAUGACAAUUCAAUGCAUGUAUGCUAAUGAAUGCCUUCCUCAAUUACUGGCUAGUCAGUCCAUACAUUAAAGACAUAUGAACCUACGUGUCCCAUAUCAUGUAGAUGUAUUGAAUAUACGACCAACCAAUCAGUAAUAUCUCACCACCUACACCUCUUUUGUUAGUCGUCUUGUUAUACUCAUGGUCUCAAAACCCGAAACCCGAAAGAUCGUUUUAUCAAUGUCCGUCAUCAAAGGGGCAUACAUUCCCCGCAUUUGUGCACGUGUGGGCUAGCCUGGAUCUUGGACAACUUAUGAGGAAACUCAACUACAAAAAAUGUAUCUUUCUUUUCUCUCAAUCUCAUUCUCAUCUCCAUAAUCACCAAUCUCACUAAUCUCACAAUUCCUCACAAUGCAAUAUAUAUGGAAAAGAAUAUCAAUACUUGCAUUUCAAUAUCGAACACAUGCUUCUAUGAAAAGCGAUAACACCAAUCAUAUAAAUCACCGAUAUCACAUACUUUUAUCGAAAACAAUAACAACCAAGAGUUAAUCAAUCAAUGGCACACAAAUCACACAUUUCAAUUAUAAGCUGAUUAUCGUUUUAAAGAAAGGUUCCCCGAUAGAGACCCUACCUCGAAUCCAAGCGCUACUUCCGACACUAGCCAAAAUUAGUAACACAAAGACUGGCUUUCUGAAAUCUUUAUCCUUCUGCUCUUGCAAUCCAGCUACUCACCUUUGAUCCAUCCUCGUAUCGAAUCCUCAUUUCGAGAAUGUUGGCAGAUCACUUCAAAUCAAUGCGAUCAAGUCCUUGAAAUUGAGAAGGACACCCAAAUCCUUAUUUCUAAUUCCUCUCGCGUUUUUAUGAUAAAUUCCGAACCAUAUGCCAUAUGUACUCAUUUCGCAUUAUCCCCACCUUUAAAAAUCUAUAUUUGCAAUCAACAUUGUCGGCGUAUCCCAACUAUGCUCCAAACACCGAUCUAAACUUUCCAAAAUUACUCUGGACACCCAAAUCACCAUUCUCCGAUUCUAUUGACCUUCAUUCUCAUACAACCAACACACAGUAAUAACUUUCCUUCAUAGUUAGCAGAACACAACUCAAAUCUCUCCAAGUCUCCAUCACCCAAGUUUUCCAAUUUCUAUACUACAAGCAUAACAAUAGCAAUUACACUUCUUUUUCGGCUUCUUAAAAUCAAACAACUGAUAGGAGCACAAAGUGUGACGUUCUUAAUAUGUUUAUACCCUUUUAUUUACCCUUUGUUAACUCCUAUUUAGUUGUUUUAGCUUUAUAU